rnacentral:rRNA from 1 species
CUUAACACAUGCAAGUCGAGGGGCAGCAUGAACUUAGCUUGCUAAGUUUGAUGGCGACCGGCGCACGGGUGAGUAACACGUAUCCAACCUGCCGAUGACUCGGGGAUAGCCUUUCGAAAGAAAGAUUAAUACCCGAUGGCAUAGUUCUUCCGCAUGGUAGAACUAUUAAAGAAUUUCGGUCAUCGAUGGGGAUGCGUUCCAUUAGGUUGUUGGCGGGGUAACGGCCCACCAAGCCUUCGAUGGAUAGGGGUUCUGAGAGGAAGGUCCCCCACAUUGGAACUGAGACACGGUCCAAACUCCUACGGGAGGCAGCAGUGAGGAAUAUUGGUCAAUGGACGAGAGUCUGAACCAGCCAAGUAGCGUGAAGGAUGACUGCCCUAUGGGUUGUAAACUUCUUUUAUACGGGAAUAAAGUGAGGCACGUGUGCCUUUUUGUAUGUACCGUAUGAAUAAGGAUCGGCUAACUCCGUGCCAGCAGCCGCGGUAAUACGGAGGAUCCGAGCGUUAUCCGGAUUUAUUGGGUUUAAAGGGAGCGUAGGCGGACGCUUAAGUCAGUUGUGAAAGUUUGCGGCUCAACCGUAAAAUUGCAGUUGAUACUGGGUGUCUUGAGUACAGUAGAGGCAGGCGGAAUUCGUGGUGUAGCGGUGAAAUGCUUAGAUAUCACGAAGAACUCCGAUUGCGAAGGCAGCUUGCUGG